CAGCCCUGUUUGAGCCAUGCACAUGAUGACAGAACAAACCCUGGUAGAUACAAGACCAUGAUGGAGCUUUGGAUCUUCUGUACUUCAAAUCACCAUUAAAGUGGAAAAGACUGCAACAGUUCAGGUAAAAGCAUAAGCAAAUGGCAUCCAGUCAAAGGUGGCAUCCAGUCAAAACAAACCUUUCUCCAUAGUUCCAUUGUCAUCUUGGACUUAUAGAAGAUGCUGUCACUUCUGGUUCUGAAGAGAUUCCAUUUAUUGGCCCUGGAGACUGACAAGGAACCAACACCUGUGCCCAAAUGUUUUCUGAACCUUGGCAGCAACAGGCAUGUUCAUUAUGCAGCAGUUGUAGUUCCAAGUGUGCUCAAGGCACGGGAGAGCAGCAGCCUUCUCCCUUGCAAGGAAAAACAGGUUAAGUAGCAAAACAGCCGGUGCAGUGGAAUCCCUAACACGUCCCAUCUUCAAGAAAACUGGUGCUUCUGUGACUGUGCGUCACAAGUGCAAGCUGCAAUUUAUGAGGAGAUAAAGGAAGAGAAACAAAGGUAAUAAGGCUUAUGGAACAGCUUCCAUGUGAUAGAAGAAAUAUAGUCUUCAGACUGGGAAAGAAUCAACUAAACAUAGUAUUAUAAAGAUCUACAGGACUGGGAAUGCCAUGAAAAAGAUCUUGCAUUCUAUCUGCUGUCAGCUCGGUUUGGAUUAUCACCUCGGAUGUGGGAUUCAGCGUGUUCAGUGUGUGCCAUACAGUUCCCAACAUUGCCUGGUUACUGCUCUGAAAACAUCUGGAUGGAAUCGUGGCUGGACAGACAUCUUGGUACUGUGUAUGAGGUAGCCUUGGUUCUGUGCAUCAGAGUGCCCGUUGACUUCAGCCAGCGUUCUGGACGUGGUGCUGGGUGAGAUUUCCAGACAUUCAGCUGAAGAUUUUCAAUGAGGAAAGAAAAGAAAGAAAGAAACAAAGAAGAAUAAAACAACAGCAACGACCGAAAUCCUACUGUACUGGAGGUUUCAGGCAAGUAGUUUGAAAACUUUAGAGGGUCUCUUCCACUGAAUGAGUCUGCACUCAAACCCUCUGCUGUUCUGACAGCUGGUAGUGCUGUACAUGGAGCUGUGGGGUACUGGUGUCUGAUGCUCACUCCCAGAGGGGUGGUCAGCUGUGCCUGUUGUUGAUCAGCUAGUUUGCAGUAGCAAAAAUGAAAAGCAGAAAGAGAAUGGAGGAGAGAGAACAGUGUGUACAGAGCUGGAGAGAAAUGAAAGGUAAAAAGAGAAAAGCGGAAGAUGGGAAGGAAACUGGAGAGGAAAAUGUUUGGAGAAGAGAAAAAAGUACGAGAAGAACGUGAAUGUUAAGCUUAUAGGAAGCAAUAGGUGAUGGGGGUGUAUCCCCAAAAAGAAGAAAUUAGCACCAAUUAUACCCAGUGUGACCCUUGUUAAGAGAAAGGUGGAAAUAAGCACUGACAGAAAUGUGUGCAAAUCCACAAGACUAGAAGUGUGAGGGCAAAAAUGCAAAGAAAGAAUCCUGUUUUGUCUGCAGUUCCAUAAUUAUUGUGUGAGAUAAGUUCCCAAAGGAAAAAAGAGCUGCUUUUUUACCUGAAGAGAAAAAGGAGAUAUUCUUAUUCUCCUUUGGUUAAAAUGAUUACAGCUGAGUGUUGAAGAAGAACACCAAACAUUUUGAGACUCAACAAAAUCAUAUGAAUCAGCAACACCAGGAGGAUGUCUGAAAGAUGAUUUCAGUUUCAAGGAUGUAAAUGUACUUCAUUGCUGUGGUUUAGUCACCCUUGGCCAUUCACGAUGUAAGUAGGAACUGAUCUCAUUUAGGAAAUCAUUGAGAGAAGAUGAGUCUGAAGACCUGAUUCUAUCUUAUCUCGACAAACCAUGGUUAAUAAAGGGAUGCAAUUAUUAUGUUUUCUGGGAUGUACCCUUGUCUGAGGCAUUGUUAAAAAACAUUAAAGGGCUAGUUCCUCAAAGAUGUUUAAGCACCUUUCUCCCAUUGAUUUCAAUAAAAUGAGGCAUCUUAAGUGCCUUCAGAAUUCUGACCUUAAGUGUCAUCAGGAAAAAGUGAAGCAAAAGAUAAGCAGGUUCUAAAAGAAUAACAGAGGGCUGCAAGCACGUGAUUCUGGUGUGUGUCUGGUUAUUACAUUUUAUAUGUGUGGGACUUCUGCACAUUAAAAACCAAAUAAAGCUACAAACAAAUUAUCCCCACCUAGGCUGCAUAAAGCAUCAAUUGCUAUCCCCUCCCUGCAGUCCGUCUCACAGACAUCUACACAAUGUGCUGUAUGGAGCGAGAUGGAAAAAAAACCAACAAGAAAACAACAAACCCAACUCUAUCCCCUCUGCUCUCUUCAGCCUCCUGCCACAGCCCCCUCCCAGCGCCAGGCUUGCCUCUCCCUUCCCCAGUGUGCUCGGUGAGCUGGAGGAGCUUGUUCACCUGACUGCUUGACAAGCAAACGGUUGGUCACAGUCCUAAUUACAGAUGCUUUUGUUACUCAAACGUAUUUUUUUCUGUUAGAGGAAGAUGCCGCGCUCUCAAGAUUAGCCUUAUCGAGAAGGUGCAGUGUGUAUGACACAGUCCCAAUGUGAUAAAUAGAUAGAUAGAUGGACAGUAGCAUACAGAUGUUAAUGUUGGUUUUUUUUUCCUUUUUCAGAAAAAUCCUGUACUAGAAAAUAUCAUGUUGGUUUGUCACUAUCUUGUCAGGUUCUGCAUGUGCAUCCCAGGCUCUCAGACCUGCCUUUCUCUGCCAGCUGUUGUGUGGCUGCUCACUCCACUCCUUACAAGCCUGUAUGCAGACCAGCAGAAUCUGUGGAGCCGGACUCAGAAUGAGCAUCAUCUCCAGUGAUCCAGAAGGCUUCACAGCAAGCAGGAGAAGUCUUGCUCCUUGUCACUGUGAUUAGAGGUGUAGGAAGCAGGAAAAUUGAUCUUUCUGCACUAGGAAGAAGCUUGUCUGUGCAGGAGAGGGCUUCCUCAGAGGGUGGUUUCAAGGACUCAAUUGGACAAUAUGUUUAUCUUCUUGGAUGCUGAAUAUAAUAAGCUGACGUGAAUAGAAUAAGGGAUAACACCAUAUAAUUCAAACAAGGUAAUCCUGACAAAGAAGCAAAUCAGUCAGUGGACAUCACCUAUUGUUCUGCCUGGUUUCAUUUGAGUGUUAGUAGAAGACCAACUCUUCUAUACAACAUCUAACAGUUUGCUAAAUACACAACUAAUUCACUUAUUGGAGGUGAUACUUAUCAAAAAGCUGAGAGGAAUUUGCACAUUGAAAUAUAUUUAUGGUCAUGUGAACAAGGAAGUGACCUGUUGGAGAUGGACCUUGGGUUCCUGAGGAGAAAAGUUAAAGAAGUUACAGAGAAGCCUUCUGAUCACCCAGCUAUGAAAAGCACCGUGACUGGUUCUGCCCAGAAGCUGCAUGAAUACAUGUGGAGCAGAAAAGUUGCUCUUUAUAGCCAGCUGUAAAAUUCUUUCAAGCCCUGUGAACGUUCAGCAUGAGAAGGCUUUUCUCACUGGCAUUUUCUGAGAUAUAGAUUAACUUCAGCAUACCACCCUUCAGCAGUAUGCAUGAGUCAAGAUUACCCUCCAAGCUUACGCUAUAUCGAUGAAACUCAAAGUCAGCCGGUCCGUUUCAAGAACAAAAGCAGUGUUUGGUUCCAGUCAGCUGCCGGAGAACAUGCUCCAGAUUUGACAAACGUUGCAGUUAGUUGCUUUUGUGAGUUUAGUGCGCGGUGCAAAUGCUGUAAAAUGUUUUUCACAUGAUGCAAUAUUGCCAGCAGAUAAUCACUGGAGCAUUAAACCAAAAGAAUUUCUGUAUAUCCUACAAGCUGCAGGAGGAUAAGAAAAGGUGGUGUCUUGAAUUAGUUGGAUACUGCAAGUAUGGAGAGUAUUGAAUGAAAUCCUUUUCUGCAUCUUUAAUCUGUUUUAUGAAGUGCGUCUUCAGAAGGAAAGUACAAAGGAAGACAACCCCAAUUUGUUUGUACUGGAUACAGAGGUACUACAGUUACGUAUGAACAUUUCUCAUGGUAUGGAACAGAUCCUUCAGAUCCUCAGGACAGAGUCAUCUAUAGUGGUUAUUCCAGAAGCUCAGACUGCUGCUUUCCUUCUUUCCCUGCUCCCAGCAUGGUUUCUGCAGCAAAGAAACUGUGAAGUAUUAAGGGAGAAGUGCAGCUACCAACACUUGAAAUGUUUAAAGGAAGGCUGUGAUUCAGCACACUUCUGCUCAUGGACUUGAUGCACGUUUUGCUGAUUGCUGACUACGGAGGCCUUCAAAUUCCUCUUUGUUGGAGAUGGGAAAAGAGGAUGGAAGCCAUAUGGACAGACUCAGAGGAGAGGGUAAAGUGACCAGGAGAAGCCCACAGAGAUCUUUCCCAAAGGAUGAGUGAGAUGAAACUGAAGGAAUGAACUCCCAUUGCCUUCUUCCUUCUGUGGACAGUGAAUACACAGACUUAAAAAAAAAUACAAAAAAAAGAUGUGUUUUGCUUGAAGUGAUGGUGCCUCCAAAUGCCCCCAUGAAGUCAGUUUUCCAGAUUAAAGCAUCAGAUGAGAGCACGAAGCUGAAGCGAGCGGCCUGGGCUGGUGCUGCAGGCAAAUAAAUGACAGUAUCAGAGACCAUCCAGUGUCCUCCUCCAUGGUGAGUCACAAUGAAUUUCGUACCUAAAUAGAGAAACCAUUUAGAGUCCAAGUAGAUUACAACUUUCCAGAAGUUAAAAAUGGGAAUUUGGCCUAUAUUUUAAGGACAUGAUCCACAAAGGUGUUCCUUUUGAGUGAUAUUAAAGGCUUUCUAUAAACUUGAUUCACUGGAAACAGUCCUGAUAGCUGAAAGCUGCUCACUUGGGAACAUAGGGCACUGCUCACCUUGUGAUAGUAUGGUAGCUCAAUAUGGCACUUGUACAAUGGUGCAUUGUUUAGCACAGCUGAACAGCUUGUCCAGAGGUUGCCCAUCACACAUCUUCAUGUGAACGGGAAUAAGUAGCUCUGGAGGCAGCCACUUCUCCCAAAAGUUAAGAGCAUUUAUGACUGUAGUAAUGGGCAUGGCUUUACAAACUGGAGAAGAAUCAAAAUUGUACUGAGACUGAAAUUUAGCUUGCUUUCACAUUUUGCCAAUCAGAUCAUGCAUAGUUAGUGCAUUCCUCAGAGAAAUGCUGACUGGCAGCAAUAUUGGAAGAAAAUCAUUCUUAAAACAAGGAAAGUGAAGCUAUUGGGGUUUUAUUCUAUACACACAUAUAUAUUUAAAGUAGAAUUUUGUUGUUUUUCCCUGGACCUAGACAUUUCUGUUCUGCCCAUUUGCAUAGGUAAUGUCUCUAUUGUAUUUAUUCACGCUGCUCAUAAAAAAGCACAUCACAAAAGUGCCUGGAAAAUAAAACUCCAAUGAGAAGGGACCCAUCAAGUUUAAAUGGAGGUUUAUAUUGCAGCAUUAUGAGACAGAGGCUUGCACAUUUGCAAGUCCCAUGGCAGAAGGCAAAACUCUGAACAAUUAAAGCAGCACAGACAUCCUGCCCUAAAGGACUGUAAGUGUUUAAAAAACCAGCCAUGACCUCUCUUUACUGGGCCUGUUUUUUAUUUAAUUUGCAGUCUUUAUUAGCCAACAAAAUCUUGGCUAGAUCCUUAGUCGAAGUGAUGAAUAUACAAGUAUUUUGAUCUACAAUUUGGGGCACUUCAAACUAUUCUUUACUUUAUGAUCAUUUGUAAUCAAGGUCAGAG